CAAAGCAACCUCAUGUGGGAUCGUGCAGCAUGUCCAUGACCAAAAUGCUGCUGUGGUGCUGCAGCUCAGCACAGCUGCCUUGUGCCUGGAUGCUUACACUAAUGGGAGAGAUUCUACUAAUGUGAGUGCCAGUGACAGGCAUCCCCCCAAAGCCAAGAAGAAGGGUUGGAAUGGCAGACUGAAGGAAGAGGAGUGCAUCCCCCUGAGCCCCACAGGGAGCAGCAUCCUACAUGAGCUUACAGAAAUGCUGACUGGCUGUAGGUGCUGAGAAUCCUGUGAAGCCCAGAGGAGCUGUGUAAGCGUGUUCCCCAGCCCAGGACUGCAGUGCAGGACCCAUCACCAGACGGAUGCUUCCAGGUGCUUUUUCACCCUGUCUUCCUCCAUAGCUACUGUGGCAGCUGAGUCCGCCCAGCAAUACCAGGUACUUCAUGCACAGGAAAACAGAACAAACCAAUUUCAGUAAACUAUGUGAGACUCCUGGAGGAUCUUUUUGUUAGGAGUUGAGCAGGCUGUAAAUAACAGAGGCAUUAACAGUAAUUCACACCCCUGGGACAAGCCAUAGAGGAUUACAGCCGCGUGGAACCAUUUGCCUUGAGAAAAAUGACAAAAUUUCCAAGGACUAGAUGGCUUCUUGAGAGAAGAUUUGAAGCUCAGGCUGCACUUGUCUUGAGCCUAUCCGCUAUCAAUUCCAGUUCGUACAAAGACAUUUACUCCUAUUAUUAUUAUACCCCUGCCCUUUCUCGCCCUUGAAGUAUUGGCAUUGUGGCUCUGAAGACAGAUUCAAUUAACAAACCGGAUAGAUGCUGACCUUUCCGGGGUUGUUAUUCUAUCCUUGAUUUGCUUUAGGGGAGAAAUAUUUCUUUCUUGUAUAAAUAUGAAAUAACAAAUAAAUAACCAACAAUUGAUUUGUAGUUUCAG